rnacentral:rRNA from 1 species
CAGCCGCCGCGGUAAUACGUAGGUCCCGAGCGUUGUCCGGACUUAUUGGGCGUAAAGCGAGCGUAGGCGGUUAGAUAAGUCUGAAGUUAAAGGCUGUGGCUUAACCAUAGUACGCUUUGGAAACUGUUUAACUUGAGUGCAAGAGAGGAGAGUGGAAUUCCAUGUGUAGCGGUGAAAUGCGUAGAUAUAUGGAGGAACACCGGUGGCGAAAGCGGCUCUCUGGCUUGUAACUGACGCUGAGGCUCGAAAGCGUGGGGAGCAAACAGGAUUAGAUACCCGCGUAGUCCCUGUCUCUUAUACA